rnacentral:lncRNA from 1 species
UUUCGUCGCCUCAACCGUGGUUACAUUAAUACCAACGCUACUCACUACAAGGUCUGCAGCGAGCACUUCGUUUCUGGAAGGCCAUCCUACCUGAUGGACGUUACAAACCCAGACUGGGCACCCAGCUUACACUUGGGGUAUGACAGAAACUCAGCUGCUAAAUCUGAAGCAAGGCACCAGCGACGUUGCAAGAGGGCUGCGACCUCAAAGGAGAUCCAAGAGGGCAAUAGCAGAGUUCUCCAGCCUUCAAAUGUGUUGAACGUGCAGCACAGCGCUGUGUGCAGAACUGUCACGGGUACAAUGGCUUAUUCAUACAUGGGGACUAUUUCCUUUAAUGACAUUCAGCAUCUUUAUAGCACCUUGAUUCUAUACAGGCACACCACUUGCACGCCCUGUUACAGCACAUAACAAGGAAGCUGAUG